GGUUUAACACAUGCAAGUUCAACGAUGAACCACUUUCSGUGGGGAUUAGUGGCGAACGGGUGAGUAWCACGUGGGCAAUCUGCCCUUCACUCUGGGACAAGCCCUGGAAACGGGGUCUAAUACCGGAUAACACUGCGGAUCGCAUGGUCUGCGGUUAAAARCUCCGGCGGUGAAGGAUGAGCCCGCGGCCUAUCAGCUUGUUGGUGAGGUAAUGGCUCACCAAGGCGACGACGGGUAGCCGGCCUGAGAGGGCGACCGGCCACACUGGGACUGAGACACGGCCCAGACUCCUACGGGAGGCAGCAGUGGGGAAUAUUGCACAAUGGGCGAAAGCCUGAUGCAGCGACGCCGCGUGAGGGAUGACGGCCUUCGGGUUGUAAACCUCUUUCAGCAGGGAAGAAACGAAAGUGACKGUACCUGCAGAAUAAGCGCCGGCUAACUACGUGCCAGCAGCCGCGGUAAUACGUAGGGCGCAAGCGUUGUCCGGAAUUAUUGGGCGUAAAGAGCUCGUAAGCGGCUUGU
rnacentral:rRNA from 1 species